UUUUGACCAUCAGCUUUGUGCAUGCCUAGUCCUACUUUUACUAUCAUCAAAGGAAUUAAUGCUGUUGCAAGAAAUGUAAGAAUGCUGUUUGACGGGGAGAGCUCCUACAUGGUGUUGAAGAGGAACAGAACUAGACACUAGAUGUUGUGAAGAAUGCAAUAAUCUCCCACCUGGCCUUUCCCCUAUAUGUAUCAGCUCCUGAAACUAACUGGAUACCACCUUCCUAAAAUGCAGCUUUGUAUUCCAGCCCCAUGUUCAGAUUUCCCUACAUCUUCCUUGUGGUACAAGGAAGAGGAGAUAGCUAUCAUGAAUCAGAGGAGAAGGAAGAAGAAUCUCCAAGUCCCAUGUUAAACCUCAGUGUCUUUGCUUGGUUAGAAAACUGGAGGGAAUUAAAGUCAAAGUCUCUAUCUCAGGCUUUUACUUCAGUGAGCCUUUUGAUGCACAGGCUGCCUGGGUACUCUACCCUCACCGAGGCAUUCAUAGAGAUUCUAAAUUCUAGAGGGCAUGGGAACUGUCCCAGAGAACAACACCAGGGACUACGCGUUAACUGAAGUUAGAAUUGAUAACAACGUUUCAGGUCAGUGUGAAUUGGUAGUAAAUCUGGUUUUGCUUUUGCGCUCCAGGUGUUUCUGUUAGGAUUUGAUAAAACAUAUGAUGGAGAAUUUCCCUGCUGGUAUAAACAAAACUCGACUGAUCUAGAUCUAAGCAGUGACACAGCUCUAAGUAGAGACCAGAACCAAGACAGAAGAGAAUAUAUUAACCGUUCAGCUAUCUCCUAUAUAUUGUCUGUAU
rnacentral:lncRNA from 1 species